UUGAUUUUAUGCUUCGAUCAAUAAUACUACUAGAUUCGCGAUUAGCGCUUCAAAAACGGCCCGAAAAAUAAGACCACAAAUAAAUUUGUGGUCUUAUUUCAAAUUAGUAUGGUCCAAUCAUAGCCAACACUAAGACGUCAAAACGCUGCAAUGCGCGUUCAAAAACUGAGUAAAAAACCACCGUAACACCAAGGUUUUGGAAGGAAUAUCUUUUUUUGAUUUCCUAGUAGCCCCUUGUCGCUGUGCACAAUGGAUAUAUAUUGUCGCGAAAGAAAGAGGAGAAGAAAUAUAGAAUUGUUAUAUAAAAUUACAAAUUGAAUUAUAAAAAUUCUAGAAUUGUUCAAUGGUGGUGGCAAAUCAAUGCAAAAAAGUAUUAAAAAAACUUUAUAUGUAUGUGUAAAUAUUUUAAGCGUAUAUGCUGAAAAGGAUUUGUUUUCUGGGGGAAACGAACACAGCCAUAAAAUAAGCCUAAAUUAAACUGAUUAUAGAAAAAUCCAUUGAUAUAAGAUUACAUUAUAUUUGUAAAAAAGAAACCGCUCAUAUAAAAAUGACUUCUAAAAGACAGCUUUAUAACAAACUGAAUCUGUUUAAAGGUAAUUAAACCUACAUUAUUGUUUUAAUUACUUCUGUAUAAAGAAUACGUGGAAAACAUGUAUCGUGUUUCCUUUCAUAUUUUUUUUUACUUUAUUCAAUUUUAUUUUUUAUCACCUAUUUGUUGUAAUAGCGGCAAUGUAAAAUAUUAUCUACUACUUUUUUGAAUCGGUCAAAAAUAGUUGCGACCAUACAAAACAAACCUAAAACAAAUAUGUAUAUUCUGCAACUCUAUGUCUUUCAAUACUUACUGUGUUCUGAACAUUGAAAUGUAAUACCAAGAACUACAUCUAGUUCUACAAUACAAUAAGCACGAAAUUUUAAACAAAUAUUUUUAACCUUAUAAAUUAGGCUUUAAGUAUCAUUUUAGAAUAAAUAUUUUUGUACUGAUGUCUUUUUAUGUUCAAGUGACAUUUUAAAUUUAUUCCAUAAUAUUCUUUUUCUGACGAAAGGACCUAAAUACAUAUAUUUUGCAAUGGUAAUUAAACUUUAUGUUUAAGUAUUAAGGUUUAGAAUAAACUGAAGUCGUUAACAUUAUUAAACUUUUUUCUAAGAAA